UUGAACGCUGGCGGCAUGCUUUACACAUGCAAGUCGAACGGCAGCGGGGGCUUCGGCCUGCCGGCGAGUGGCGAACGGGUGAGUAAUGCAUCGGAACGUACCCAGUCGUGGGGGAUAACUACGCGAAAGCGUGGCUAAUACCGCAUACGCCCUGAGGGGGAAAGCGGGGGACCUUCGGGCCUCGCGCGAUUGGAGCGGCUGAUGUCGGAUUAGCUGGUUGGUGGGGUAAAGGCUCACCAAGGCGACGAUCCGUAGCUGGUCUGAGAGGACGACCAGCCACACUGGAACUGAGACACGGUCCAGACUCCUACGGGAGGCAGCAGUGGGGAAUUUUGGACAAUGGGGGCAACCCUGAUCCAGCCAUUCCGCGUGAGUGAAGAAGGCCUUCGGGUUGUAAAGCUCUUUCAGCAGGAACGAAACGGUGGUCCUUAAUACGGGCUACUAAUGACGGUACCUGAAGAAGAAGCACCGGCUAACUACGU
rnacentral:rRNA from 1 species